rnacentral:lncRNA from 1 species
AUAACAAUAGUAUGGAUUUUAAACAAAGACAUAUAGAACAAGGGGAUAGCAGAGAGAACAUAUUUAAUCAGACAAAUCCUUCCUGCCAUCGAGAUAAAUCUGCCUUUCCAUCUUCCCAGUCUUUCCUUUAUCUUCUCAACCACCCCAUCCCAAAACGCUUCCUUCUUGUGACAUCCCCCAACAGGCAACCCAAGAUACUUGAAAGGAUAAUUCAUCACUUCGCAGUUAAGCAUUUUUGCGAAACAACUGAUCGUGAAAGUAUCAACCCCCACACCUCCAAUACUACUCUUCAGAAAGUUCACCUUUAGACCUGAA